AAUGAAUGAUAAGGGUACUUUCUUAGCACCUCCUUGUAUCUUUCCUAGUCUUCAUAGAGUGAUUCUCCAUCUUUCUGGGAGAAGGAAUUAAUAUCAUUCUUCAACU